rnacentral:lncRNA from 1 species
UAUGUUUGCAUGCUCUAUGCUUUCUGUUUUGCUUUACUCUAUAGUAUCUACAAUUCUAAUAUGUUUGUUUGAAGUGUAUUUUAAGUAGCAUGUCUUGUAUUUGACUACGGUUGGUGGUUGGUAGAUCAUAGAUGAACCUGAGUUGUUCUGUUAUGUUGCUAUUAGCCAGGUUCCAGGGCUAGCUUUAAAUAAGAACAUAUGAUCCUUGUUUCUUGCAAGCUAUCCAUGAUAUCUUAAACGUCUGCAUAGUUAGUGAAACACAUUUGACUUGAUUCAUUGUUUGGCACAAAGCGGAACAGAGAAGCUAGCACAAUAACAAAGCCUGUAUCAUGAAAUGCCUGCCUUUUUAAAAGAUGAUUCAGCAAAUUAGAAUGUAAACAUUGUGAACCUGUGAGGUUGCCUCUCCAUUAAAAAUUGUAGUUUUCCCUUAGUGUGUAUCCAAGUUACUCCUAUCUAUCUUUGUCUUUAUAUUUAUCUAUCUUUGUCUUCAUAUUUUCCAUUUUUUUGGAUACCUAUGCACAUGACAGGCGAGUCUCAGUUUAGAUUAUCUCUUGUGAAAAUCUAACUGUGGUGUUAGUGACAUCGUUGCUUAACCGCUGUGUGCUUUACAGCUGCCUUUGCCAUAUUUAAAAGUGGGAUAUUUGACUGCCCCUCCAGCAGACGAUCCCAUUGCGCCGCAUAAGCAUUGGGAGAGGUCACAGUUUAUCUUAAACCAUGAGGAACUCCAGCAGGUAGUUGUUUUACUGAUAACACAUAAACCUGCAUAUCUUUCUUGUCACUGACUUCGUGAUCGCAAAUCAGGCCAAUGCCUCAGAAAGCUCUCCACGCAAGUCGCUUGGGCAUGUGGAGAAAAGCAAAC